UAUUUCCUUUCUCUCUGCAGCAACUUUAGUAUUUGGAUUCUCGAAGUUCAGAGUUCAGAUCUUGUUAAUGAAAUUUUUGUAAACUGGUUUACAUUGAUCUACUAAGCAGUAAGACUUGAUGAAUCUGUGGCAUUCAGUCGGCUCAAUGGUAAAUGAAGGGUCUAAACAGGUGACCUCAUGGCAAAGAAGUAACAGUUAGUUACAAUUCAGUCACUUUUCAGUUAAUUCAAUGUAGUUUGGUUUUCCCAUGACUAUAGUAAUACCUUUUUCUUUUUAAGAACAGUUCUUUGAUCUGACAUUAUCUAUUCAUAUAUAUUGUUGUACUGUGUCCUGUGUUUCUGUGCUUUUUUAAUUAGAUAUUAAUUAUUCAUUAGAUAGAUGGUUGUGUACACUUUGCAUAAUGCUUACAGCAAUAUAUGGAUAAUCAAGUUCUGUAUAAUGUAAAUAAAAUAUACUAGUUUUUUUUUUUUACCUUUUAUAAUUUAAAUCUUUACCUUUUUAAAUGCUUAAGAUCCAUUCCAUUUUUUUCUGUUUUUUUUUAAAUUUAUAAUGUAUUAAAUUAGUUAAACAUCUUUCUAUUUUUGUUAAUGUUUUUCUGUAACUUAUACUUACUUGUGUUUUCUGUCUGUGUUUAUCUUCUUUGUAUACAUGUAACACGGAGGCUAUCUGCCCAUAGUAUCAAGUCAGAAAACACACAACAUUUUGUAAGAUACAAUUGGCAUUUUUUCCUGUAACUUUAGCCUGAUUUAGUUUUUUCUCCCUAAUCUUGAUCUUCAUCCUAUAGCUCUGGCUAGAAGCAUUUCUGCCUAUUGUAUUAAAUUUGAGAUGCAGAACAUGCUACAAUUGGUAACAGUUGGAUAACGACUUUUGUCUAAAGCAUUGACUACUGUAAUGAAAGCUGUCGUAUUUUAUAUCCUCAGGUUAGUUGAGCUUAAUGAUUUUAUUUCAUUUUGAUAUUGUCUUCCAUUUAUUGACAUGAAUUUACUUGGAUGUCAAACGUUAAUCCAUGUAUCUUAAUCUUAAGAAGUGCAGUUAUAUAUUAUACAACUGCUUCUCUGAAAAGUAGGAUAUGAAAAUAUGAUUAUUUUGUAUGCAUAUAAAUUUCAUUUUAAAUAAAAAAUUUAUACUG
rnacentral:misc_RNA from 1 species